rnacentral:rRNA from 1 species
UACGUAGGUCCCGAGCGUUGUCCGGAUUUAUUGGGCGUAAAGCGAGCGCAGGUGGUUUAUUAAGUCUGGUGUAAAAGGCAGUGGCUCAACCAUUGUAUGCAUUGGAAACUGGUAGACUUGAGUGCAGGAGAGGAGAGUGGAAUUCCAUGUGUAGCGGUGAAAUGCGUAGAUAUAUGGAGGAACACCGGUGGCGAAAGCGGCUCUCUUGCCUGUAACUGACACUGAGGCUCGAAAGCGUGGGGAGCAAACAGG